CUUGUCCAUCAAGAAGACAAGUCUUCUUUCUGUUGGGCUCCGCUAUGGAGGUAGAGUGUGAGAACUACCCCUUUUGGUCUCUUGACUCCAUUUUAACGAGGUUUCGGUUUAUUAGUUUCUACAGUUUCUGAGAUCCCUAUCCAAACGUCCUCUUCUCCCUGGGCCAAUGGAAGCUUGCUUUGCCAGGUGAGAUGGAAGUGGACUCUCAGAUUGGCACUGAAAAGGAAGAAGAAUGGAGGGGGGGGUCCCAGGGGGGCCACUUACUUCCCAGUGAUUUUCUGGGCCUUUUUCCUCCUCCUUUUCCUCCCAAGUUUCGAAUAAAGACAGUUUCUUCUUUGAGAACGCUUACCAGUGCUCAGCUUGGUUCAAGGAUAAAAAGAGAGUCAGAAAUGAAUAAUUCUGAAUACUUUACUGUGGAAUUCUCCUAAUGUCCC
rnacentral:lncRNA from 1 species